rnacentral:rRNA from 1 species
UCUAAUGAAAGCGGCGGACUGGUGAGAAACGCGUGGGUGACCUGCCUUUAGGAUGGGGAUAGCCGUUAGAAACAGCGGGUAAUACCGAAUACGCUUGUGUAACUGAGGUUACAUGAGGAAAGGGGCUUUGGCCCCGCCCCGGGACGGGCCCGCGUCCCAUUAGCUGGUUGGAGGGGUAACGGCCCGCCAAGGCGAAGAUGGGUAGCCGGCCUGAGAGGGCGAACGGCCACACUGGGACUGAGAUACGGCCCAGACUCCUACGGGAGGCAGCAGCUAAGAAUAUUCCGCAAUGGGCGAAAGCCUGACGGAGCGACGCCGCGUGGAUGACGAAGGCCGAAAGGUUGUAAAAUUCUUUUGCGGGCGAAGAAGAAGGCGCGGAGGGAAUGCCGCGCCGGUGACGCCGGCCCGCGAAUAAGCCCCGGCUAAUUACGUGCCAGCAGCCGCGGUAACACGUAAGGGGCGAGCGUUGUUCGGAAUUAUUGGGCGUAAAGGGCGCGUAGGCGGCCGCGCAAGUCUGAUGUGAAAACCCCGGGCUCAACCCGGGAACGGCAUUGGAAACUGCGGGGCUUGAGUGACGGAGGGGAAGCCGGAAUUCCUGGUGUAGGGGUGAAAUCUGUAGAUAUCAGGAAGAACACCGAUGGCGAAGGCAGGCUUCCAGCCGAUGACUGACGCUGAGGCGCGAAAGUGCGGGGAGCAAACAGGAUUAGAUACCCUGGUAGUCCGCACUGUAAACGAUGCACACUAGGCGUCGGGGCGAGCGUCCCGGUGCCGAAGCGAACGCGGUAAGUGUGCCGCCUGGGGGAGUAUGCCCGCAAGGGUGAAACUCAAAGGAAUUGACGG